rnacentral:rRNA from 1 species
UACGGGGGGGGCAAGCGUUGUCCGGAUUUAUUGGGCGUAAAGAGCGUGUAGGCGGCUUGAUAGGUCCGUUGUGAAAACUCGAGGCUCAACCUCGAGCUGUCGGCGGAAACCAUCUGGCUAGAGUCCGGAAGAGGAGAAUGGAAUUCCCGGUGUAGCGGUGAAAUGCGCAGAUAUCGGGAAGAACACCCGUGGCGAAGGCGGUUCUCUGGGACGGUACUGACGCUGAGACGCGAAAGCGUGGGGGAGCGAACAGG